CGGACGGGUGAGUAAUGUCUGGGAAACUGCCUGGUGGAGGGGGAUAACUACUGGAAACGGUAGCUAAUACCGCAUAACGUCGCAAGACCAAAGAGGGGGACCUUCGGGCCUCUUGCCAUCGGAUGUGCCCAGAUGGGAUUAGCUAGUAGGUGGGGUAACGGCUCACCUAGGCGACGAUCCCUAGCUGGUCUGAGAGGAUGGCCAGCCACACUGGAACUGAGACACGGUCCAG
rnacentral:rRNA from 1 species